UUACUAGAGGAUUGAUGAAAUGAAUACCCAAAUAUGAAUCCAUCUGGCUAGGCAUAUUCGGAGAUAUUUGUUAACAAAGUUAGUAGUGUCAGGGUAGUAGCUACUUGUAAAGAAGCAGCAGCUAUAAAAUCUGCACUAGAACAAACCUACUAUUGUUAUUAUUAUUUACAAAAGAGACCGAGGAAAACUUCAAUUUGACACUUCACCCCCCAAGCGUGCAAUAAACAAAUUUCUACAGUCACACAGGUUAUAUAAAUAAAACCUUGGAAAGAUGCAUCCAAGUUCCACUCGUGUGAAUUGGCUUUCUUCUAUAUAUAUAUAUAUACAUGUUGAGUUGACCUUCAUACUGAUAAUAUAGAUUUUGACCCUCACCUAAACUUCAUAUCCUGGGAACCUUGACAUUUCAGGUGCAAGAAGAUCAAACCAGAGGCAAGCUGUUCCAGCAAGUCCUUGAAAAAGAGAGUAAGCAUGAUCAGCUCCGCGAACAUGUCCUCCAGGCACUAAUUUACUCGCAUUGUUAUACAAGAAGCUUGCAAAUGCCUUGGCUCGCUCUUCGUAUAUGCUAUCUCCUGUAAGACGGUAAAGGGAAAGGAAGGCAUAUGCAUUUCCAGCCACACCAUCAGCAAGUCCCACCUUCUUCACUAAUCCACUCUUCCACACAACUUCCCCUGCUUCUAUAGCGGCAUCACGAAAUUCCCUAUCAUUUGGGAAAACCUGUAUGAACAAAGGAGGAGUUAACACCAAGCCCUUACAAUUUGGCUCAUGUAUCUAUUAGCUCUGCUUGGUUUUGUGCUCUAUUAUUAUUCCAUUCUUCAGUCAUGAUUAUAAUAAUCCUAGCCAACAACAGAUGCUCUGUACCACGUCUCAGAUGUUCAUAUUUACCAUCGAAGCACUAUUGGAGAAAGCAAAUUGUUAAUUACUACCUGGAUUACCUUUAAAGUUUAAACUCGACCAAAGUACCAAUUCAAGUGAUUUAUUUUGUAAAUUAGCAAUUAACUGAUGAAAUCUACACAGGUAUGUUUAGUGAGGGAAAAUUUUAGCAUCGUAAAUCCACACUACUAUGUAGAAAAGGUGUUGGAAUAGCUGGAUCCUGAAGGCCAAAAGUUCAUUUAGUUACAAUUAAUAUUGAAUAAGCUCAAUAAAGAAUUAUACUUUAUUAAUUAUUACCUGUGAUGCCUUGCACAGGGUGAUGGCCAUGCCAGUAGCACCAUGAGACCACUGCAUCAAUUUGUCCCUUGGGUUUCCUUCACUUGAUGGGUAAUUUCCACUACGAAGGAACCUUUUACUCAUCAUGUACCUUAAAGUCCCCUUAACAUCCUCAGCAUCCUCUUUGGAGAGAGGAAAGUGAAGUAGAACUUGCAGGAUUCCAGCAAGGCCAUUAGCUGCUCCCCAGUACCUUGUCCCAUGCCAUCUGUACAUCAGGGGGCAGGCUGGAUUAUCAGAUGAUCCUGCCCUGCCCCCAGCUAACACAGCAUCAACAACAGGCAUGAGAAGAUCACUUGGCAAUGUCCCUUCUCCUAGACGUUGAUUCAGAAACAAAGCAGACCAUAAAAAUCCAGCUCGCCCAUACAUAAGGUCAUAUGACAUUCCAAAACCGCCUUCCUCUGGUCCGAUUGGGAGCGCUCUCUCUUGUGCUACCUCAAGGAAGAGGUUCAAAAACAGGUCGCGUCGUCGUUGAUCUCCUUUGUAAUUAGCAAUCACAGCUCCAAGAGCAUAUAUUCCACCUCUACCACAUAAAAAGGUCACAUGCCUCGAAGAUGCAGGUGCAACAGCGGCACACGUGUCAACGAUCUCCGAGCAUAACAACAAGUCUUUCUGGUUACCGGUAACCUCGUACGACCGCAAGCAGGUGAAAGCCGUUCCCAGCAGACCCGAAUAAACCGUCGGGUCAACAACCGUAUCCGUACCCACACUACUACCACGACCUCCUGUCCACGUCAUCUCCACCACCUGGUCCUUGAGAGAAAUGGCUGCUUUGAGAAAAGAUUCGUUAGGAAGUGAAAAAUUGGCAGCCGUUAGAUCCAUAUGAAGAAUAAAAUCUAGCCGUUCGUUGUUCUUAUCGCCGUCCUCAUGGCUCUCUUGAGAAGCAAACUCCACAGCAGGAGACAUGGCAUCUCUCACGGACUCUUAAAAACUCACAUAACUG
rnacentral:misc_RNA from 1 species